rnacentral:lncRNA from 1 species
AGAAGGAGGAAACGCUGGAGAUUCUGAAACGCGUGGCUAAGGAUUUACAAGCGGAGGGAGAGAAGAAAGUAAUGGCAGCUAGUGAGGUUAGGCUGUUAGCUAAGGAUGACGCCGAGGCGAGAGUGACGCUCGCCAUGCUCGGUGCGAUCCCUCCGCUCGUUAGUAUGAUCGACGAUUCGCAAAAGAACGAAGAUGCUCUGAUUGCUUAUCUCUAUGCUCUUCUCAACCUCGCAAUCGGCAAUGAUGCGUAAGUCUCCAACUGCAUGUUUAAUUAAAACAAUUUGUAACGCUCCGACUGUCCACUGCUAACUAACGAGGUUCCUUUUGAUGCCUUAUUUAUUUUUGCAAGCCUAAUGGACCGAAUAAAAAAAAUGAUAAUUUAAUUUUUUUUUUUCAGGAACAAAGAAGCCAUUGUUAGAGGAGGAGCAGUUCACAAAAUGCUUAAGCUUAUUGAAUCGUCAAAGCCUCCUCCUAACCAAGCAAUCUCCGAGGCUAUCGUGGCGAACUUUCUUGGUUUAAGCGCGUUAGAUUCGAACAAACCGAUCAUCGGUUCCUCUGGAGCGAUCAUCUUCCUAGUGAGAGCCCUGAAAACUAGUAGCUCGCAAGCCAGAGGCUAUGUCGGUUAUGAAGAAGGUGGACAGUUGACUGAAGCUGUUCGUAGAAGACCCUACUCAGUGGUUUUGUUCGAUGAGAUCGAGAAAGCCCAUCCUGAUGUCUUCAACAUCCUGCUGCAGCUUCUCGACGAUGGAAGGAUAACUGAUUCUCAAGGGAGGAGAGUGAGUUUCACAAACUGUGUUGUGAUUAUGACCUCUAAUAUAGGAUCCCACCACAUACUCGAGACUCUCGGAAACAGUGAAGACGGCAAAGAAGCAGUGUAUGAGUUGAUGAAGCGGCAGGUUGUGGACUUGGCAAGACAAACUUUCAGGCCAGAGUUCAUGAACAGAAUCGAUGAGUACAUUGUCUUCCAGCCGCUAGAUUCAAAAGAAAUCUCCAAAAUCGUUGAGUUGCAGGUAAUUUAUAAUUAUUAACUUGUUUACACCCCAAUUUGGUUUGGUAUUUGAUGUAUUGUAACCAUGUGGUGUAGCUGGAACGAGUGAAGAACAGGAUGGAACAAAAGAAAAUAAAGCUUCAGUACACAAAAGAAGCAGUGGAUCUUCUUUCUCAGCUUGGGUUUGAUCCCAACUAUGGGGCAAGGCCUGUUAAGAGAGUGAUCCAACAGAUGGUAGAGAAUGAGAUCGCCGUUGAAGUUUUGAAAGGGGAUUUUGCAGAGGAAGACACUAUCCUCCUCGAUGUUGACCAGACAAGCAACAAAUUGGUCAUCAAGAAGCUCGAGAACAAUGCUCCUAUCGAAGAAAUGGCAGCUUGAUUAUACUAUAAACAAGCGUUUUUGUAACUCUUUGUUCUAUGUUCUGUAGAUUCAGCUCUGUUUUCUGACACGUGCGGAUGGAAGAUGUUUAAAAGUUUUAUCUCCUGCCGACAGAAGCAACACACCUACUUCUUUGUCCAUAAGCAUUUUGAUUUAAAACUAGGAGCUCAUGGAGAGUUCGUUGGCGAGAACUCCGAAGAGCUUUUCAUUACAAAAGAAAUUGAUAUUCUAACAGAAACUGUUUUUACAACUAAGUAUUGAAAUAAUUUUUAAUCUAUAAUUGACAAGUGUUUGUUGGGUUUUCAUAACUUUCUCCUAAAACCGAUUUUCACUUUAUUUUUAAUUUAGUCUUGAGGACAUUUUCUUAUAUAUUUUCAAAAGAAAUGUUCUUACUAAUCUAACUAGGUUAAGACUCGCGUCUUUCGCGGAAUGAACAUUAUAUAUAUAAAUUAUUUUAUAUGUUAUAUGUUUAUAACAUAUUAUGAAAUAAUAAAUAUAUAUCUAUACUAUUAAAAGGGAAUCACUCCUAAAAAAUCUACUUAAACAAAGUUGUUGGACAAUUUCAUUAGAUUUAACUAUUAAUUUGGUCUUAACUUAUAUUUCUCUAACUAUAUAAAUACUUUACAUAAUUUAAAUGAAUUCAUUUAUUAUUUUCUCAUAAUCUAUUAUCUAACAAUAAAUCCAUAUGAAUAUAUGAUAGAUUAUUCAAAUGUGAUCAUUACCACAUAUAAUUCUAUUAAUAGUAUAAAUUUUUAAUGGUUUAGUUAUGUUUAAUAGGUAUAUAAUUUGUAUUUUAAAAUUUUAAGUACUCAUUUGGUCCUUACUUUGGUUUCUAUUUUUUCUAUGCUCGAUUAUUUAUGAAAUUCAGCUUAAUUUUGAGUUUUUUUCUCAGUUUGGUACGGUCCAGUGCACUCGGGUAAAUGUACUCAAACCUAUACAUUAUUUCUUAUAUAAGAAGAAUUUAUUUAAUUUCAAAAAUAAACAGCGCGAAUCAAAAUCUAGUUUAUUUAUUAUUGAUUGAUUAUAAAUGAAAGUUCAUAAUUCUUCACAUGCUAUCUGAUUUUAGUAAUUCUAAAUCAAUAUAUGGCCUAAAAUCAUGUUAGAAUAUCUAUUUUUAGUUAAAAAAAAACAAUUCAAUAGUAAUACAUAUAUUAAACCUAUAUGAAUGUAAUCGUUUUUAAUAUGCGCAAGUGGAGUGAUGUAUCAAUCCUAAAAAAACUAGAUAUAUUAUUUUUUAAUUAUUUGUAUCAUGUCAUAACAAAAAUUUUAAAUCAUAGAUCACAAAAUUUGAAUGUAAAACUUUUAACAGUUUCAGUAAUUCAUACUCGUUUUUAAAAAUUCAAAAUAUAAUAUAAAUAUAUUUUUUUAAAAUUUUUAUUAUAUGGUUACUAUGAUUGUUUAAUUUAUUUUAAUAGUUUAAAAUUAAACAAAUAUAAUUAUAAUACACACUUAUUUUUAUCAAAUUUUUAUUAUUCAAAAUCAUUAAUUGUCAUAUAUACUUUAGCCACAUUAGGCAAUUCUGUAAUCUUAUUUAAGGAAAUAAUAAAGCACAUUAAUAAUGUAUUUAUUGUGGUUUAAUAAAAAAAUUAUUAUAUAUUUAGGUGGACCAACCUAUUUUUCUAUGGAUUCUAAAAAUCAUUUUAGUAAUGACACGUGGAUACAAAAAAAUGUUGCAUUGCUUCUCAAAUAAUAUAUAGUGGAUUUUUAUGAGAUGAACUUGAGAAAUCUAACAAAAUCAAAUCAAAAUCAAAUCGGAGAAACGAUUUAAUAAAUUAAAUUAAACACAUUCUCAUAUCGCUAGAAUUGAAUCGGAUCCCUUCUGUUUAAUAGCCUCCGACAUUGAAAUCUUUGUUUAUUUUUUAUAGUUCUCUUAGUAAUUCUAUUGUCUGGUCAUUAAUUGAGCGAAUAACACUCUCAUUAAUGAUAGUUUAGCUUACUAACUAGUUAGUGACUUUGAAAUGUCAGUCGUGUCUUUUAAUGGGGAAACAAUCUGAUACAUCUGGCUUAGCCUCUUAAACAAUUGAAUUUUCAACUUUCAAUUUAGUCUACCAUCUUUUUAUCUGGUUCAACAACUGAUUCAUAUGUUCUAAACUCUAAAGGUUAAAGUUACUUUACGCGUUAAAAAAUGUCAAUAAACUAAAAAGAAAUAGACCAUGUAACUAAGUUUCCAAGCCCUAGGCAUGAGUGGACCUACUUGCAAUCAAAGGGGUUCAAUUGACACCCCAUAAAUUUUUUUUUCUCCUCGUAUUUUUAGAUUUACGGUACUAAAUUUGAACCAGUUCGUUCGCCUAUGUUUUUGACAACGACCUUUAUGUUUGACACCUGUUAAAUAAUUCAUCUAGGUCCGCCAGGAUGUAUGUAUGCGUGCACCCUUUUUCCUCCGCCAUUGUAUGCGAAGUUGAUGAAUAUCUGACAUGAGAAUAAGCACGUAAGUGGACUUGGAUUUUAUGUGAUGAUGAUGAUAAUGACGAUGAUGAUGGAACUCGACUCUUGGGUAUAAAAGGUGCAGUAAAGAGCUUGGCCCCAUCACAGUGAGAGUUUGAAGUUCUUUUGUGAUCCAUCAAGUGUUUGCUGGAAAAAGGUGUGUAGAGAAGUGAUGUUUGAGACUGACUUUAGUCAACUAAUUUGUGUUUUGGACGACCAAAAAAGACUGGUCAGCGUUUUCACCCUUGUUGGUUCAGUUCAGUGUUUUUUCUUUCUACAGUCUUUGCUUCUUUUGCCGUUAACUUUGUUACUCCUUGUAAUAAUAUUUUUUCAUGCUGAUCUCGUAGCAGGGCGCAAGUAGAGCGGUCGAACAGGGCCUCGAAAUAUAAAGAUAAAAAAUUUAAGGGCUUUUUCGUAAGAAAUAAUUUAUUUUGAAAAGUAUUCAUUGGGGAAAUUCUUAUAUUCUUCCUCGGACGUUUUAAAUGUUAAAUUUGUCGCAACCGUUUUGAAAUUUUAAAAUUUUAGAUAUAAUGCUAAAUUUAGAACUUAUAAUUAAAAAAAAUCAAACAAAAUUAUUAAAUUUUAAAAUUACGUUAUAAAAUGUACAAUUAAUAUAUUUUUUGAACAGGGCCUAAAAUUAAUUAGAGACGGCCCUGUCUCGUAGCACAAGAGCAUGUGACAGGUUUUUUUUUCCUUCUCAUGUGCUGUGUAAUUGAGUUUGGCAUUUUUUGGAGGUAGCCCUAAAUUUUAAUUAUAUGAAAUUUACGUAACAAACAAACAAAACAAAAAAUGCUCACACGAGCUUAGGACAAGUAAUUAAUAAAAAAAAAAAAAAUCUAUAAAGCUUAUUUACUUUCUGAAUUCUCCGGCUGAAGCGUCGGCUUGUGUUGCUGGUCAUCUCUCUUUCUGAGAGAAACUAGUUCGUCGCCAAGCCGAGAAGGAACUGGUUCAAGCUGGCUCCGAGUUCCCGUCUUCUUCUACGCGGGUUGUUGCCCCGGGUCAUGGGACCGAGAUCUUGGCUUCUCUUUCGCAAGCUCUACCAGCCGGAUCCUCCACGACUCUGAUCCUUGUCGAGGACAAGGAGAGGGCUGCUGACUCUAUGCCUCCACCUCCGGCCAGGAAAGAAAUCGUUCUGGUGUUGCGUGCUCCCAGUGUUGUUCCGGUUGCUCAGCCUACGAGCCGGAAGAGGAAGCUCGCCAAGAGUGGUGAUGGGGAAUCUUUGCAGCAAGGUGGGUCGAGCCUAGUGUCGGGACUUCACGGAAAGGUUUGCCUCUCACAUGAAUUCUCGAUCGUUUCAUGUACAUUCUUUCUCGGACUUAGUCUUAAAAAAUGUUUUGUUCGCAGUUCAUGUUGUUGAUCGAUGGGAUGAUCAGCGAGUGCGGUUCUGAGACUAGUCGUCUUGCCGGGGGGUUGGUGGAGCUUCAGGGUAGAUGGUCUGAAACCGAACCCAUGCUGACGGCUGUCAAGGAUUCUCAUUCCGUGAAAGUGUCGAAGCUCGAGGUCGCGAUAGGAGAGCUCGAGAGAGAUUUUCGCUUCCAAAUAAAAACAGAACAAUUCUUUUGUAUCUCACUCUCUCUCUCUCCUCCAUCAAGCUGCAUACAGCUGAUCGGAGAAAAUGGCCAAGUGUCACCGGAACAAUGUAGAUCCUCUCAUCCUUCACCGCAUUCCCUCCGCUUCUUCCUCCUCCACCUCCUUGAACUCCUUCUCCAGAUCGACAUUCCGCAGAUUGAUCCUGGACGCCAUCAGCUGCGGCGGCAGCUCACGUCAUCAGCGAGAACUCCAACAAGACGAAGAAGAUAAAACGACGAUCGGAGGGGAUGAGUUAGCGACGAAAUCAGAGAAGCUAUGCGAUCUGCUAAACUUAACGAAGAUGGAGACGAAGAAGAUGAAGAAGGAGGAAACGCUGGAGAUUCUGAAACGCGUGGCUAAGGAUUUACAAGCGGAGGGAGAGAAGAAAGUAAUGGCAGCUAGUGAGGUUAGGCUGUUAGCUAAGGAUGACGCCGAGGCGAGAGUGACGCUCGCCAUGCUCGGUGCGAUCCCUCCGCUCGUUAGUAUGAUCGACGAUUCGCAAAAGAACGAAGAUGCUCUGAUUGCUUAUCUCUAUGCUCUUCUCAACCUCGCAAUCGGCAAUGAUGCGUAAGUCUCCAACUGCAUGUUUAAUUAAAACAAUUUGUAACGCUCCGACUGUCCACUGCUAACUAACGAGGUUCCUUUUGAUGCCUUAUUUAUUUUUGCAAGCC